GUGAGGAAUUUUCCGCAAUGGGCGAAAGCCUGACGGAGCAAUGCCGCGUGAAGGAUGAAGGCCUAUGGGUUGUAAACUUCUUUUCUUAGAGAAGAAUAUUGACGGUAUCUGAGGAAUAAGCACCGGCUAACUCCGUGCCAGCAGCCGCGGUAAUACGGAGGGUGCAAGCGUUAUCCGGAUUUACUGGGUUUAAAGGGUGUGUAGGCGGGCUAUUAAGUCAGGGGUGAAAUCCCGGGGCUCAACCUCGGAACUGCCUUUGAUACUAUUAGUCUUAAAUUAUGUUAAGGUUGGCGGAAUAUAACAUGUAGCGGUGAAAUGCAAAGAUAUGUUAUAGAACACCGAUUGCGAAGGCAGCUGGCUAAACAUAUAUUGACGCUGAGGCACGAAAGCGUGGGUAGCGAACAGGAUUAGAAACCCCUGUAGUCC
rnacentral:rRNA from 1 species